UCCUUUAUAACCAACCACCUGUAAAUUGGGAUCGGGAUCUUGUUGGCUAAGCAGAAAGGACCUCAAGAUGGCUUCACUAACUCCCAGAAAUCAUGUGGAACUUCAUGAUAAUGAAUCCAAGGUAACCUACAUAUCUUUGUAAGCUAAUAGGUACUAUCUCGUCCAUCUUGCCAUGCCAAAUACUAUGAACUGAGCUUUCAUUUUCAAAUUCUAGUGGAUCAAAGUUCCAUUUUCCGUGAGCCACCA
rnacentral:lncRNA from 1 species